UACAAUUAUUUUACUGUUGCUUUUUAUGUAUUUUUUUACUUAAAUUUAGUAAAUUUACGUAAGUUAGCAGCAUUGUGCAUAAAAUAAGUAAACUUGUGUCACUAUUUGUAUUUUCACAAGUCAAAUUGAAAAAACACAAUACAGAAUCGCAAUUGUAAAUGUAUAUUCACUUUAUAAAUGAAUUAUACUUUAUAAUACCGUAAAUAUACUAACAUUUUUUACAAUUACUUCCAACUUUGUAAAAUAAUCCAGUCUACCGGUCAAAUCACAUGCAUACUGUGAAUUGUUGAUGCUCACGCAAUCAUUACUAUAACGCUUGCAGGUUAUAACAAGUUGGAGUGCAUUAGUUGUGGUAAUAUAUUUUGUACAAAAUAGUGUAUUUUGUUGUUAAAGGCGGAUAAUUACUUACUAUAAUUUGCCCAUGUCAUCUUUAAUUGUUAUGUUAAUGCAAUUUUUAUCACAGGGUGAUGAUAUGAAUAAUUUAAAUGAAAUUAUCAAGGUGGCUGCGCCAUGUGCAAUUGAAAUAGGCAAGUAUUUAAAACGUCUUUGUACCUAUAACAUUUUAAUGUAUUUUUGUAUUUUUCUAGAGAGCGAUCCACAAACAAUUUAUCACGUAGUUUUAGAACGACAAGUAGUGAUUCCAAGUGUUGUCACUUUAAAAGAUGCAGUAUCUUGGCCGUUUGGAUUAUAUUUUAUAAUGAAUUUAGAAUAUCCAGACGAAGUAUCAGCAGUUUUGGAAAUGAUGCAAAGAUUUUUUUUGAAAAUACAUCCAGAUCAAGGAUCCAAAUCAAAAAGAAUAACACCAACAAAACGCAAAGUAAUUGGCCUUAUGAACAAAUUUAAUUAAUGUAAAGUAUAUACAACAUCAAUGACUUUGUUUUGUGUUUAUGAUUUUAUUACAUGUUUAUUAUGUUUUUCACCAUAAAAUAAAAGGUUCACUUUGUC